UGCCAGCAGCCGCGGUAAUACGGAGGGGGCUAGCGUUGUUCGGAAUUACUGGGCGUAAAGCGCACGUAGGCGGACUAUUAAGUCAGGGGUGAAAUCCCGGGGCUCAACCCCGGAACUGCCUCUGAUACUGGUAGUCUUGAGUUCGAGAGAGGUGAGUGGAAUUCCGAGUGUAGAGGUGAAAUGCGUAGAUAUCGAGAGGAACGCCGGUGGUGAAGACGGCUCACUGGACAGAUACUGACGCUGAGGCACGAAAGCUGGGGGAGCAAACAGGAUUAGAUA
rnacentral:rRNA from 1 species